rnacentral:lncRNA from 1 species
GAGAUUAGUUAUAUGAUAAAAUGGUUGUGUGGGUUCCACGAUCAGGCUAAAACAGCAUCUGUUGUUUUUACCUUAUUUCAAGACUCAUAUGGUCCUUCUCCUCCCAGCCAAUCAGAAUGCAUGAAGUGUCCUCCAUUUCAAAGUCGAAAAGCUGUCAUGUCAGAGCACAUUUGGAAAUAUAUACGUAUAACAGCUAUCCUUAUCUACGUAUAU